GAUGAACGCUAGCUACAGGCUUAACACAUGCAAGUCGAGGGGCAGCAUGGUCUUAGCUUGCUAAGGCCGAUGGCGACCGGCGCACGGGUGAGUAACACGUAUCCAACCUGCCGUCUACUCUUGGACAGCCUUCUGAAAGGAAGAUUAAUACAAGAUGGCAUCAUGAGUCCGCAUGUUCACAUGAUUAAAGGUAUUCCGGUAGACGAUGGGGAUGCGUUCCAUUAGAUAGUAGGCGGGGUAACGGCCCACCUAGUCUUCGAUGGAUAGGGGUUCUGAGAGGAAGGUCCCCCACAUUGGAACUGAGACACGGUCCAAACUCCUACGGGAGGCAGCAGUGAGGAAUAUUGGUCAAUGGGCGAGAGCCUGAACCAGCCAAGUAGCGUGAAGGAUGACUGCCCUAUGGGUUGUAAACUUCUUUUAUAAAGGAAUAAAGUCGGGUAUGGAUACCCGUUUGCAUGUACUUUAUGAAUAAGGAUCGGCUAACUCCGUGCCAGCAGCCGCGGUAAUACGGAGGAUCCGAGCGUUAUCCGGAUUUAUUGGGUUUAAAGGGAGCGUAGAUGGAUGUUUAAGUCAGUUGUGAAAGUUUGCGGCUCAACCGUAAAAUUGCAGUUGAUACUGGAUAUCUUGAGUGCAGUUGAGGCAGGCGGAAUUCGUGGUGUAGCGGUGAAAUGCUUAGAUAUCACGAAGAACUCCGAUUGCGAAGGCAGCCUGCUAAGCUGCAACUGACAUUGAGGCUCGAAAGUGUGGGUAUCAAACAGGAUUAGAUACCCUGGUAGUCCACACGGUAAACGAUGAAUACUCGCUGUUUGCGAUAUACGGCAAGCGGCCAAGCGAAAGCGUUAAGUAUUCCACCUGGGGAGUACGCCGGCAACGGUGAAACUCAAAGGAAUUGACGGGGGCCCGCACAAGCGGAGGAACAUGUGGUUUAAUUCGAUGAUACGCGAGGAACCUUACCCGGGCUUAAAUUGCAGAUGAAUUACGGUGAAAGCCGUAAGCCGCAAGGCAUCUGUGAAGGUGCUGCAUGGUUGUCGUCAGCUCGUGCCGUGAGGUGUCGGCUUAAGUGCCAUAACGAGCGCAACCCUUGUUGUCAGUUACUAACAGGUUCCGCUGAGGACUCUGACAAGACUGCCAUCGUAAGAUGUGAGGAAGGUGGGGAUGACGUCAAAUCAGCACGGCCCUUACGUCCGGGGCUACACACGUGUUACAAUGGGGGGUACAGAGGGCCGCUACCACGCGAGUGGAUGCCAAUCCCCAAAACCUCUCUCAGUUCGGACUGGAGUCUGCAACCCGACUCCACGAAGCUGGAUUCGCUAGUAAUCGCGCAUCAGCCACGGCGCGGUGAAUACGUUCCCGGGCCU
rnacentral:rRNA from 1 species